GCAGAGUUGGAGUGGAGAUCCUCUCGCAUCACAUCUCCAGGGCGCUGAACACCUUCUGACUGGAGACAAAUAGUGCGGUACUUGGUGAACUGGGAGAGAUCCAGGCUGGAGGAGUGAACGCAGGUCUUUCAUUCUGGACCACAGAGCCCACCCAGAUGGACACGUCAGGUUCCCCUUAGACCCUCAAUCUCAGAUUCAGCCGGUCUGUCCAUCUGGUCACCUGAUUCAGCUGUCUCGCCCUUCUCCCUACAUGACGCCUGUUUCAGCUGAACUCUUGACUUUCACUUCCUCACACAUUGUUGAUCAGAGAGCUCAGACUGACGAGGCCUGACAGUCUGGUUACAGUCUGGUUACUUUUACUAAG